AGGUCUAGUAGAAUUAUUUGACAGAUUGGAAGCUGGAGAGCUUCGAGAAAGUUCUUUUUCUUAUCAUGUGAGGAAAUUGCACAAAAACAGGCAAGGUGCACCACGAAAAAGAGAAGGUGCCCCACCAGGGAUAAAGGGUCGAGCACGAUUCAAGCUGGAGGAAUCUUUUUAUCAGAAUCCAUACCCGGAAUGUAUUUGCAGGUCCAAAGACACGGUAAUAUGACAAAAGUUUCUAUCAGGAGAAUGUGCAAGAAAUUGAUUCUUUUACAUUUGACCCUUUUGUGGGCACAUCCCGGAGUUCCUGAUAUGUCAAAUCGGAUUGACUGAAAGAAGUACACUUAACAGAUGUCAUCAAUGUAUUGCAUCGACUACUAGGAAGGAUUUCUCCUUAUAUAAUCUUUGUACUUUAAUAUCAUAAUCCUGAUCUUUUCCUUAACAUGUGACAUGACAGUUUUUACUUAGGGUUUUGAUUGAUCAGUUCAAUUGUGUUCUGUUUAGUUUGGAAACAAUUAUGAGAACAAUUUGAAUACCA